rnacentral:rRNA from 1 species
GAUGAACGCUAGCGGCAGGCCUAAUACAUGCAAGUCGAGGGGCAGCGCGGUAGCAAUACUGGCGGCGACCGGCGCACGGGUGCGUAACACGUAUGCAACCUACCUUCAACUGGAGGAUAGCCCGGGGAAACUCGGAUUAAUACUCCAUAACACAGGGAUCCCGCAUGGGAAUAUUGUUAAAGCUACGGCGGUUGAAGAUGGGCAUGCGUUCGAUUAGCUAGUUGGUGUAGGUAACGGCUCACCAAGGCUACGAUCGAUAGGGGGUCUGAGAGGAUGAUCCCCCACACCUGGUACUGAGAUACGGACCAGACUCCUACGGGAGGCAGCAGUAGGGAAUAUUGGUCAAUGGGCGCAAGCCUGAACCAGCUAUGCCGCGUG